GUGGGGAAUCUUGCGCAAUGGGCGAAAGCCUGACGCAGCCAUGCCGCGUGAAUGAUGAAGGUCUUAGGAUUGUAAAAUUCUUUCACCGGGGACGAUAAUGACGGUACCCGGAGAAGAAGCUCCGGCUAACUUCGUGCCAGCAGCCGCGGUAAUACGAAGGGGGCUAGCGUUGCUCGGAAUUACUGGGCGUAAAGGGCGCGUAGGCGGACAGCUUAGUCAGAGGUGAAAGCCCAGGGCUCAACCUUGGAAUUGCCUUUGAUACUGGCUGUCUUGAGUACGGGAGAGGUGAGUGGAACUCCGAGUGUAGAGGUGAAAUUCGUAGAUAUUCGGAAGAACACCAGUGGCGAAGGCGACUCACUGGCCCAAUACUGACGCUGAGGCGCGAAAGCGUGGGGAGCAAACAGGAUUAGAAACCCCUGUAGUCC
rnacentral:rRNA from 1 species